UACGUAGGGGGCAAGUGUUGUCCGGAAUUAUUGGGCGUAAAGCGCGUGUAGGCGGUCCGGUAAGUCGGCUGUGAAAGUCCAGGGCUCAACCCUGGGAUGCCGGUCGAUACUGCCGGACUAGAGUUCGGAAGAGGCGAGUGGAAUUCCCGGUGUGGCGGUGAAAUGCGCAGAUAUCGGGAGGAACACCAAUGGCGAAGGCAGCUCGCUGGGACGUUACUGACGCUGAGACGCGAAAGCGUGGGGAGCAAACAGG
rnacentral:rRNA from 1 species